GAAAGUCGGUUGUUGUUCAGCUGCUGAUACUUGAAUGUUGAUUCGUCUCUGUUUCUUACCCAGACUGCAAGAUAAGUUUUUCGAUACUUUUACAGGAGUCGAAAAACAUCCAGAAUAGUCAGUGCCUGCAGACUUAUAUAGUCAAAGGACAAGUUACAGAGGAAAGAAGAAUAAUUUAUCUCAACAAACAAAAGUGGAUAAUUCUCUAACAUACAGUCAGAGCUCUUCCAUAAUACUCGGUAAACGGGUAAUUGGGUGCAUUAUUCCUUAUCACCAGGUUACAGGAAAACCGCAGAAAACCUGCAACACCGACGAUGGACGAGGUGAUCUUUGGAAAUGGGUGUCAUAUAAUGGCGAUGGAGAAGUUAUCUAGAAAGUUCUUGAACAGGGGUGGGCAAAAAGCGGGCCGGAUUCGGUCCCGGCUCGUUGAGAAAUCCCGCAUGCAAUUUUUUUAUCCCUAAUAUUUCUUUUUGGCAAAAAACUCCACCUAAAACAUUCGUGUGUCCAUAGCAUACGAUCUCAGGCCCGAGAGACAUUUUGAAAAUUUCAUUAUGGCCCGCACUUAGAAGUAUUUGCCCGCUCCUGUUCUAAAACAUUCGAUAACUUGAUACUUAUAUAGUCAUACAACAAGUUACGGGAGAAAGAAGAAUAACUUAACAGACCAAAGAGUUUCAAGAAAUAUUUUUUUAAUAUAAUUCAAACACAUAAAGAAUAUUUGACUGUUAUUUCUAAGAAUAUACGAUUACUACAAAUAUAUAUAGUCUUAGGUAAAUUGAAUAAAAAAGAAGAAUCUAUAAAAC